UUGAUGUUGUGUCUUGUAUAAUACCACGCAGGCAGGGCAGCCCAGCACAAUCAAGUACUUGCUCAGAAUCCAGGCACCACAAAUCAACCAUCCAGAAAGAAAACUCGUCUUUUCACAUCAUUCAACCUAGAGUCCUGCCUAAUUUCACCUGUGACUCAGUUUAGGCAAGUUAUCAACUACAGAACAGCCAAUGUCUUAAUGGAUCCUCAGGAUGCAGCCCAUGCAAAGCCCCUGAUUCCACUGGAUCGUGAUGUCUUGGGGAGGUUCUGCAAUUCCUUGGGAACAGUCUCUUUCCUCCCUGGGCAGGGCCCAGCAUCUUUCCAGCCAGGCUAUGCUGAAAUUAAAAAACAGACCUUCAAAAAUGCUAGGUUUACAAUGAGAGGUAUCACAGUUCAAUGUUUAUUCUAUGCAUCCUUGAUAUUUGGGAUCUGGACAACUCUGUCAUAUAUAUAUAUUUACCAUAAUCAUGUGAGCAACUUGGAGACGAAAACCCAGGAGGCUGAAUUAAUUUGGUCCCUUGGAAAAAAAUUGCAACAGCAAAUUACCCACGGACCCCAGCAAAUCCCAAGACUGCAUAUGAGAUUUGAAAAGCCUGAUGAAGAUGAAACUGCAGGAAAAUUAUUUUUUAAAUUGGGUAAGGAUUUUAACUAUUCAAACCCAGAAUUUAUUGAUGGACUUUUAAAAUAUGGAUUUAAUACCAUUCUCAGUAAAAGCUUGGGCAGUGACAGCAAGGUGCCAGAUACCAGGAAUAAAAUGUGUCUUCAAAAACGUUACCCAGCCAAGCUACCGACCGCCAGCGUGAUCAUUUGCUUCCACAAUGAGGAAUUUAAUGCCUUAUUUCGGACCCUGUCCAGUGUCGGAAACCUCACUCCACACUACAUCCUUGAAGAAAUUAUUUUGGUGGAUGACAUGAGCGACUUCGAUGAUUUGAAAGAAAAACUAGACCAUCACCUGGAAAUUUUUCGGGGAAAGAUUAAAGUAAUAAGAAACAAAAAGAGAGAAGGACUGGUCCGAUCAAGGCUGAUUGGAGCCUCUCGUGCUUCAGGGGAUGUUCUGGUGUUCCUGGAUAGCCACUGCGAGGUGAAUACUGCAUGGCUGCAGCCCUUGCUGCAUGCCAUUGCCAAGGACUCCAAAAUGGUGGUGUGUCCUCUGAUAGAUGUCAUUGACUAUAUGACCCUUGAAUACCAGUCCUCUCCUGUUGUAAGGGGUGCUUUCAACUGGCAUCUAGAUUUUAAGUGGGAUAGUGUUUAUUCUUAUGAGAUGGAUGGACCAGAAGGACCCACUAGACCCAUCCGGUCACCUGCAAUGGCUGGAGGAAUUUUUGCUAUAAACAGGCAUUAUUUUAAUGAGAUUGGACAAUACGACAAAGGCAUGGAUCUCUGGGGAGCAGAAAAUUUGGAACUUUCACUGAGGAUUUGAUGACAUAAUUGGAGUAGAGAAAAAAGUACAAAACAGAUAUUCCUGGCAAGAGAGUCUGAAGAAAGUAUGAAGAUCUGGAUGUGUGGAGGCCAACUCUUUAUAAUCCCCUGCUCCCGAGUGGGACACAUCAGUAAGCAGCGCUUUUCAAACCAACCUGAGCUUGUAAAAGCCAUGACAUAUAAUAAUCUCAGAUUGGUGCACGUCUGGCUGGAUGAAUACAAGGAGCAGUUUUUUUUACAACAGCCUGGUCUGAAAUCUGUUGCCUAUGGCAACAUUAGUGAGCGUGUUGAACUAAGGAAACGAUUGGGUUGCAAAUCAUUUCAGUGGUAUCUGGAUAAUGUCUUCCCAGAAUUGGAGACAUCUAAGGGCAGCCUAUGAAAAGGAAACAAAUCAUUUUCAUUAAUGAAGGACUAGAAGUCCCCAAGAUCGUCAACAGAGA